rnacentral:lncRNA from 1 species
GUUGAGUUCUGCAGGUAUCCAUGGAUAUUAGAAUAUUUAAAUUUUCUCUGUAUUCUAGAUUGUGAUUAUGAGGUUUUUAUAACAAUCUCAUUCUUUUGAAUAAGGGAGCAAUGACUUAAACCUCUUCUUCCUCUUUUCCAAACAGAGUGAAGUUGUUAUGUUUAAUUAUUCAUUUUAUUUCUUAUCUAUUUCUCUUCUCCAUCUUAAUUAAUCAUAUUGUAUGCAUAUUAUUUCAAUCAUGAGAACAUAUUUCUGAGCAACCAGUUUCAGAGUUUGUGGAGAUAGAUUAAUAGAACAAGUGCUUCCUCUUGGAUAAUGAAAAGCUACCAAGUGAAUACUUUAAAGAAAAUGUCAUGCAGCUGAUCAGAGCAUUAUCAUAUGGCACCCUUCUACCUGUCAUGGACAACUAUAACAGUUCCAGGGCUAGGACCCAAACCUGCUAAGACUUUUUAAAUGUGAAGAAAGCAUCUCUUCCCUUCCCACUUCUUUUGGAAUUGGCAAAUAAAAUGCUUUCAGAAAAUCUGGAGGACUUCUGG